CGGAGAACACUGCAAGCACCAGGUGCAC
rnacentral:piRNA from 1 species